rnacentral:rRNA from 1 species
GUUGACCUCGGAUCAGGUAGGGAUACCCGCUGAACUUAAGCAUAUCAAUAAGCGGAGGAAAAGAAACCAACAGGGAUUGCUCUAGUAACGGCGAGUGAAGCAGCAAUAGCUCAAAUUUGAAAUCUGGCGUCUUCGGCGUCCGAGUUGUAAUUUGUAGAGGAUGCUUCUGAGUAACCACCGACCUAAGUUCCUUGGAACAGGACGUCAUAGAGGGUGAGAAUCCCGUAUGCGGUCGGAAAGGUGCUCUACACGUAGCUCCUUCGACGAGUCGAGUUGUUUGGGAAUGCAGCUCUAAAUGGGAGGUAAAUUC